rnacentral:rRNA from 1 species
AUACGGAGGAUCCGAGCGUUAUCCAGAUUUAUUGGGUUUAAAGGGUGCGCAGGCGGCCAUUUAAGUCAGCGGUUAAAUCGUGGGGCUCAACCCCAUUCUGCCGUUGAUACUGGGUGGCUUGAUUGCGGUCGAGGUUGGCGGAAUUCGUUGUGUAGCGGUGAAAUGCAUAGAUAUGACGAAGAACACCGAUUGCGUAGGCAGCUGACCAGACCGCAAAUGACGCUCAUGCACGAAAGUGCGGGGAUCGAACAGGAUUAGAUACCCUGGUGGUCCGCACAGUAAACGAUGAAUACUUGUUUUCGGCGAUAUAAUGUCGGAGGCAAAGCGAAAGCGAUAAGUAUUCCACCUGGGGAGUACGCCGGCAACGGUGAAACUCAAAGGAAUUGACGGGG